rnacentral:lncRNA from 1 species
AGGGACUUGAGGAAAUACCAUGUGGUAAUGAAAUAUGUCUAAAUUCCUUCUCAGGCUGUCCACAUCGUUCCUAGAUUCUCCCAGGACGCCAUCAGUGUUUUAGGUUUCAGCUUCCUCGUUCUGAAUGACUCCUACCACUUAACGGACAAACAUUUGUGAUAUUACCCGUCAAACAUAAAGGACAGGCUUAGUUCUGGGCCUUGCGGUUAUGGCCUGUUCUCGGGUGGAAGGUAAAGGACAGCGUGUCUAGACUGCAAGAGUCGCAGAUAAUGUGAAGCCUGGGCUGUAUCCAGAGAUUCCCUACAGCCAUUAUUUACCAGAAUCUAGAAGGCUCGGAUUCUACAACGUGGUUUAUUCUAGACUACACUCUCCUGCAUCAGGAGCUGCUACCAUGUGGCUGAGGCAAGAUCAAAAUACCUGUGCUUAUAUCAAGGUGAUGAAGUCCAUUCAAGUAACUGAGACAAUCAACCAGCUGGUGUCAGCAUCUGUUUGGCUCUGGUGAGAGCCUAGUGGCUGUGUCUUAACAUAAUGGUAAACACAUGGUGGAACAUGUAAAAGGGACAAAUGGUGACAAGAGAAACAUCAAAGAGAUUCACUGUG